rnacentral:rRNA from 1 species
AUUGAACGCUGGCGGCAUGCUUUACACAUGCAAGUCGAACGGCAGCGCGGGCUUCGGCCUGGCGGCGAGUGGCGAACGGGUGAAUAAUACAUCGGAACGUGCCCAGUAGUGGGGGAUAGCUCGGCGAAAGCCGGAUUAAUACCGCAUACGACCUGAGGGUGAAAGCGGGGGAUCUUCGGACCUCGCGCUAUUGGAGCGGCCGAUGGCAGAUUAGCUAGUUGGUGGGGUAAAGGCCUACCAAGGCGACGAUCUGUAGCUGGUCUGAGAGGACGACCAGCCACACUGGGACUGAGACACGGCCCAGACUCCUACGGGAGGCAGCAGUGGGGAAUUUUGGACAAUGGGCGAAAGCCUGAUCCAGCAAUGCCGCGUGUGUGAUGAAGGCCUUCGGGUUGUAAAGCACUAUUGGCGGGAACGAAAAGGACUGUGCCAAUACCACGGUUCGAUGACGGUACCCGCAGAAUAAGCACCGGCUAACUACGUG